AGAGUUUGAUCCUGGCUCAGAACGAACACUGGCGGCGUGGAUUAGGCAUGCAAGUCGAGCGGGAUUCCAUUUUUUCAAUUCUUCGGAAGAGAAGGUUUGGAUGAGAGCGGCGAACGGGUGAGUAAUAUAUGGGUAAUUUGCCUUGAAGCUCGGGAUAGCCAUUCGAAAGAGUGGGUAAUACCGAAUGUGCUCGGGGUCCGCAUGGACUCUUAUGUAAAGGUGGGGAUCUUCGGACCUGCCACUUCAAGAUAAGCCCAUAUCCUAUCAGCUUGUUAAUAAAAUAAUGGCUUACCAAGGCUUACGGGUAGCCGACCUGAGAGGGUGACCGGCCACACUGGGACUGAGACACUGCCCAGACUCCUACGGGAGGCUGCAGUCGAGAAUCAUUGUCAAUGCACGAAAGUGUGAACAUGCGACGCCGCGUGGAGGACGACGGCCUUCGGGUUGUAAACUCCUGUCCUGAGGGAGUAAGUGCACAUUCCUUAAUACGGUUUGUGUUUGAUAGUACCUCAGAAGAAAGUCACGGCUAACUCUGUGCCAGCAGCCGCGGUAAUACAGAGGUGGCGAGUGUUGUUCGGAUUUACUGGGCGUAAAGGGUCCGCAGGCGGUCCUGUGUGUCGGAUGUGAAAGCUCACGGCUUAACCGUGGAAUUGCAUUCGAAACUACAGGACUAGAGUACAGGAGGGGAGUAGGGAAUUCAUGGUGUAGCGGUGAAAUGCGUAGAUAUCAUGAAGAACACCGGUGGCGAAGGCGCUACUCUGGACUGAUACUGACGCUCAUGGACGAAAGCUGGGGGAGCGAAGAGGAUUAGAUACCCUCGUAGUCCCAGCCGUAAACGGUGUGCACUUGAUG
rnacentral:rRNA from 1 species